AAUCACUUGUUCUUUAAAUGAGGACUCGUAUCAACGGCAUCACGAGGAUCCUACUGUCUCCCCCCUCUAAUCGGUGAAACUGAUCUCUCCGUGAAGAAGCGGAGAUGUACAUAUAAGACGAGAAGACCCCAUGGAGCUUUAAACCCAACAACACCCGCCCCCCUCCAAAUCCUAUUAUUUACCCGGUGAUUGUUUGUUUGGUUUUAGGUUGGGGUGACCGCGGAGUAUAAGAUAUCCUCCAUGAAAAAAAGCUAACUGCCCUUAUUAGAGAAAGACACUUCCAAAAAAUAAUAAAUUAAUUUUAAAUGAUCCGACAUUCGAUCAACGAACCAAGUUACCCUGGGGAUAACAGCGCAAUCCGUCCCGAGAGCCCCUAUCGACAGGCGGGUUUACNACCUCGAUGUUGGAUCAGGGUAUCCCAGUGGUGCAGCAGCUACUAAAGGUUCGUUUGUUCAACGAUUAAAACCCU
rnacentral:rRNA from 1 species